UCAAAAUGAAAAUCCCAUUUCAUUCUGUAUUUCUCAUUUCUUAAGGGUUGAGAAGACCAGACUGUUACUUGGCACUGCCCAGAUGCUAGCUGAAUUCUACAGUUGGUGGUCCAAAGGCUUCCCAAGAAGAAACAUACUAUCGAAGGAUGUGACUUUGGGCCAUUUCAGGAUGCACAGGAGAGUGGUUCAAUCCUACGUGUACCGAGGACAGUGAUAGAAACCAGGCAACCCCUAUGAAAAAGGAUUAUGGAAUUCAUUCUGGGAAGACUCAGAAGAAACACGUGAGUUAUCUCCAAAUAUCUUAAAGCUUGUCAUGCCGGGGAACAAAGAUUUGUUCUUUUGUUCCUA
rnacentral:lncRNA from 1 species